GACGAACGCUGGCGGCGUGCUUAACACAUGCAAGUCGAACGGAAAGGCCCUGCUUUUGUGGGGUGCUCGAGUGGCGAACGGGUGAGUAACACGUGAGUAACCUGCCCUUGACUUUGGGAUAACUUCAGGAAACUGGGGCUAAUACCGGAUAGGAGCUCCUGCUGCAUGGUGGGGGUUGGAAAGUUUCGGCGGUUGGGGAUGGACUCGCGGCUUAUCAGCUUGUUGGUGGGGUAGUGGCUUACCAAGGCUUUGACGGGUAGCCGGCCUGAGAGGGUGACCGGCCACAUUGGGACUGAGAUACGGCCCAGACUCCUACGGGAGGCAGCAGUGGGGAAUAUUGCACAAGGGGCGGAAGCCUGAGGCAGCAACGCCGCGUGCGGGAUGACGGCCUUCGGGUUGUAAACCGCUUUCGCCUGUGACGAAGCGUGAGUGACGGUAAUGGGUAAAGAAACACCGGCUAACUACGU
rnacentral:rRNA from 1 species